rnacentral:rRNA from 1 species
GAUGAACGCUGGCGGCGUGCCUAAUACAUGCGAGUCGAGCGAACAGACGAGGAGCUUGCUCCUCUGACGUUAGCGGCGGACGGGUGAGUAACACGUGGAUAACCUACCUAUAAGACUGGGAUAACUUCGGGAAACCGGAGCUAAUACCGGAUAAUAUAUUGAACCGCAUGGUUCAAUAGUGAAAGACGGUUUUGCUGUCACUUAUAGAUGGAUCCGCGCCGCAUUAGCUAGUUGGUAAGGUAACGGCUUACCAAGGCAACGAUGCGUAGCCGACCUGAGAGGGCGAUCGGCCACACUGGAACUGAGACACGGUCCAGACUCCUACGGGAGGCAGCAGUAGGGAAUCUUCCGCAAUGGGCGAAAGCUUGACGGAGCAACGCCGCGUGAGUGAUGAAGGUCUUCGGAUCGUAAAACUCUGUUAUUAGGGAAGAACAAAUGUGUAAGUAACUAUGCACGUCUUGACGGUACCUAAUCAGAAAGCCACGGCUAACUACGUG